rnacentral:rRNA from 1 species
GAGUUUGAUCGUGGCUCAGAUUGAACGCUGGCGGCAUGCCUUACACAUGCAAGUCGAACGGCAGCAUGAUCUAGCUUGCUAGAUUGAUGGCGAGUGGCGAACGGGUGAGUAAUACAUCGGAACGUGCCCUGUAGUGGGGGAUAACUAGUCGAAAGAUUAGCUAACACCGGCAUACGACCUGAGGGUGAAAGUGGGGGACCGCAAGGCCUCAUGCUAUAGGAGCGGCCGAUGUCUGAUUAGCUAGUUGGUGGGGUAAAGGCCCACCAAGGCGACGAUCAGUAGCUGGUCUGAGAGGACGAUCAGCCACACUGGGACUGAGACACGGCCCAGGACUCCUACGGGAGGCAGCAGUGGGGAAUUUUGGACAAUGGGCGAAAGCCUGAUCCAGCAAUGCCGCGUGUGUG